CCCCAGACUCUGGGAUAACCCCGGGAAACCGGAGCUAAUACCGGAUAUGACACCAGGUCGCAUGGGCAUGGUGUGGAAAGUUUUUCGGUCUGGGAUGGACUCGCGGCCUAUCAGCUUGUUGGUGAGGUAGUGGCUCACCAAGGCGACGACGGGUAGCCGGCCUGAGAGGGCGACCGGCCACACUGGGACUGAGACACGGCCCAGACUCCUACGGGAGGCAGCAGUGGGGAAUAUUGCACAAUGGGCGAAAGCCUGAUGCAGCGACGCCGCGUGAGGGAUGACGGCCUUCGGGUUGUAAACCUCUUUCAGCAGGGAAGAAGCGCAAGUGACGGUACCUGCAGAAGAAGCACCGGCUAACUACGUGCCAGCAGCCGCGGUAAUACGUAGGGUGCGAGCGUUGUCCGGAAUUAUUGGGCGUAAAGAGCUUGUAGGUGGUUUGUCGCGUCUGCUGUGAAAAUCCGAGGCUCAACCUCGGACUUGCAGUGGGUACGGGCAGACUAGAGUGUGGUAGGGGAGACUGGAAUUCCUGGUGUAGCGGUGGAAUGCGCAGAUAUCAGGAGGAACACCGAUGGCGAAGGCAGGUCUCUGGGCCAUUACUGACACUGAGAAGCGAAAGCAUGGGGAGCGAACAGGAUUAGAUACCCUGGUAGUCCAUGCCGUAAACGUUGGGAACUAGGUGUGGGUCUCAUUCCACGAGAUCC
rnacentral:rRNA from 1 species